GAUGAACGCUGGCGGCGUGCCUAAUACAUGCAAGUCGAGCGAACGGACGAGAAGCUUGCUUCUCUGAUGUUAGCGGCGGACGGGUGAGUAACACGUGGAUAACCUACCUAUAAGACUGGGAUAACUUCGGGAAACCGGAGCUAAUACCGGAUAAUAUUUUGAACCGCAUGGUUCAAAAGUGAAAGACGGUCUUGCUGUCACUUAUAGAUGGAUCCGCGCUGCAUUAGCUAGUUGGUAGGGUAACGGCCUACCAAGGCAACGAUGCAUAGCCGACCUGAGAGGGUGAUCGGCCACACUGGAACUGAGACACGGUCCAGACUCCUACGGGAGGCAGCAGUAGGGAAUCUUCCGCAGUGGGCGAAAGCCUGACGGAGCAACGCCGCGCGAGUGAUGAAGGUCUUCGGAUCGUAAAACUCUGUUAUUAGGGAAGAACAUAUGUGUCAGGAACUGUGCACAUCUUGACGGUACCUAAUCAGAAAGCCACGGCUAACUACGUG
rnacentral:rRNA from 1 species